GCUUAUUAUUACAGACCACUCCUCUUCUCUCCCAGACCUCUCCCAGCUGCCAAGAGCUCCUCCGUAGUCAUCGAUUCAUAUACCCUACCCACUCUAUCUAAAGGACUCAUCUCAAGAGUCCUAAAUUCUAGUCCAAAAAGGACAGCCAUUUGUGCAAUAUCUCCUAUCAGAAUAAACUCAACACUAGGAAACUGAACUCAUCUUCCCCUCAAAACAGCUCCAACUUUCUCAUGUUUAUGCUUCAGAAGCUCAGGCACCUGUCUCCUCUCAACUCUGCUCCCCUUGUCUUAUUCUGUUCAGGCCGCUAUAACAAAAAUACCAUAGACAGGGCGGUUUAAACAACAGAACUUUAUUUCUCACAGUCCUGGAAGCUAGAAAGUCCACGAACAAGGUGCCAGCAGAUUUGGUGUCUGGUGAGGGCCCGCUUCCUGGCUCACAGACACCCCUCUUCUGUGUCCUCACAGGGCAGAGGGGGGAGAGCUCUCUGGAUCCCUUUUAUGAGGGCACUAACCCCACUCAUGAGGACUCCACCCUCAUGACCUAAUCACCUCUCACCCCCCUUCCCCAUCUCCUAAUACCAUCCAAUUGGGAAUUUGGCUUCAAUAUGUGAAUUAGGGGGAACAUUAACAUUCAGUCCAUAGCAUUUCUCUACCCCCAGUCAGCACAUUUACUCAAUGUUUUUCUUUGCAGUGCAUUUCAUCUUCACCUUACCCAUGCCCAACCUCAGCUCCCCAAGAUGACCCUUAUAACCUCAAAGACAUUCUCCCUACCUCUGCUCUCUCCCCUUGGUAACAUUACAGAGCUGGGAUUCUCCCACCACCUCCUAAAAAAAAAAAAUAAACAAACAAAAAACUACAGUUUUCCCAUGCCUACUCUUAAAGUCCAAACUCCCUAACCUCUCAGUCCUAGUUCCACGCUAUCUAAAUCCUACCUCUUUCAUGGACUAGUUCAAAUCCUACCUUCUAAAUCCCUAUAGCAAUCGUUCACAAGUUAUUUAGCAGUUAAGUACUACUUAUUAUGACACCUUGUCUAUUAGCAUCUUGAAUUUUAACUUAUAGGAGGGAAUCCUCAUAGUUGGUUGAGAAAACAGAUUGGCAGUUUCUUAAAAAGCUAACAUAAAAUUACCAUUUUUAUCAGAGACUCCUACAUAUGUAUCCAAAAGAAAUGGAAACAGACUUGCACAAGAAUAUUCACAGCAGCAUUAUCCAUAAUAACCAAAACAAUGAAACUUACACCUUCACCAUCUGAUGAAUGGGUAAAAUGUGGAGUAUCAUACAAAGGAAUACUACUCAGGAAACAAAAGGACAACCUGGAUGAAGAUAUUAAUAUGGAUGAACCUUAAAACAUUAUGCAAAGUGGAAAGACAUGCUGGUGAUUCCUGUUAUACGAGACAUGCAGAAAGGCAAAUUUAUAGACAGAAAGUUGAUUAGUGGUUGCCUGGGGCUUAGAGUGGAAACAGGGAUCAUGGGAGAAGAUAAAAAACUGAUUUGUUGGGAUUGUUGCACUGCUUGAUAAAUUAAAUCACUGAAUUGAAUACUUGAUGAGUCAAUUUUAUAUGUAAAACGCACUUCAAUAAAGUUAACAUUUCUUUAAUUACAGUAGGUAUUCAAUUACUUGAAUAUUUAAUCUCUUACCUGUUUUUAUUUUCCUCACCACCCUUUCCCCUGCAAUUAGACUCUAAACAUCUUGAGGGCACAGACCAUGUCUCCCACUUAUUUUUUAUGCUAAUUUUAAUAUGAAUUGCACCUACUCCAAAGCUAUACAUAUUAUUCUGUGUUCCUAACAAUUUGCAAUUUGUGGCUUUGACUUUUGCCUUGCCAGGCUAUGGAGUGACGCAUUCAAAAGCAUCAAGGACGGAAUGGUGUAUGUGGUAGUUGAAUCGCAGCUCCUCUGCUUCAAAGCUAGAACUCAGGGCAAGUUAACUGCCCAAGCCUAUUGCCCAGGUCUCUACUGAAAGAAAAAAAAAA